AAUUAUCAACCUAAUGGUUUAUUAGGAUUGGACUUGGGAUUUGCUGGCUUUGAGUAGUCAGCUAUCCUUAAAUGCAUUAGUGAGUCAAGUCUUGACAUGCACGGCCUGUCUUCGGUGAUAAAUGAUCCGUUGGUCCGGGCUGGAAGUGUCAUUAGGAAGCUUGCUUAUAACAAUUAGUAAUUUUGACA
rnacentral:misc_RNA from 1 species